AAAACACUUGGAAACCAUCUCUAAGUUGAAGAUUGAAGCAGUGUUCUUGAACUUCAAACUGGAUGAGAUGACAAAGUAUGUCAGAAUGCUAAACAAUGGAUCUGACACCUUAGACAAAAUCCUCCAGACUGCAAAAAUGGCAGGAGACAAGUCUGGCCUUGGGUUCAAUGAAUCCAAACCUGAGUGUAGUCACAUUGGUAGCAAAUAAAAGAUGUCACAUUAUGUGUCACAACAUCAUAAGGAAAGACAACAUAAAGAAAAAC
rnacentral:lncRNA from 1 species